UACGUAGGGUGCAAGCGUUAAUCGGAAUUACUGGGCGUAAAGCGUACGCAGGCGGCUUUGCAAGACAGGUGUGAAAUCCCCGGGCCUAACCUGGGAACUGCAUUUGUGACUGCAUGGCUAGAGUUUGUCAGAGGGGGGUGGAAUUCCACGUGUAGCAGUGAAAUGCGUAGAUAUCUGGAGGAACACCGGUGGCGAAGGCGGCAUCCUGGACCAACACUGACGCUGAGGAGCGAAAGCCAGGGGAGCAAACGGG
rnacentral:rRNA from 1 species